AAUGAAGUGCCUGAUUUCAAAAGGGUUAUUUUGAUAGAAUAAAUUAUGUAAAUUUUUACCUUCAUUA
rnacentral:tRNA from 1 species